rnacentral:lncRNA from 1 species
CUCAAGAUAGUGUGUAGAUAGCUGAUAUCGUCGAAGGCUAUAGUCGGCUUUACUACUCCAAAAACUGUAGGUUUACUGCCUUUAUGUACUUUUGUUCCUUGUGGGCCCACGAGUCACUGUAAAGUAAAUUUCAUAUCCCAGUUAUCUAUAUUGUAGUACGUAUGAAUUUAUUUAGCUUUUACAUUACAAAAAAAAAUUAAUUACCGAUGACUCUAUAAAUAUUGUUUUACAAGAAAUUAGAAUAUUUUAUUGAAUUUUUUUUUUAUUCAAAUAGUUGCAAUAUCAUUUUUAAUAAAUGUUUUAGACACUCAAAUUUAUUUUAAAUCUUGAAAUAUGUGUUUUCCACUCAUCUACUACAUUUUUAAUCGAGUUCAAAAAAUUUUGAAAAAAAAUGACGAAAACGCUCCUGUGAGGCGAAAAUUAUUUUUCUAUGAUUUUGAAAGGGAAAAAGCUUAAAAUUCUUUAAAAACGAGGUUUGGCGAUGAUUACUCACAAGGGAGAUGAGAAAAAUAGUACUAAAGCCUUGCGGGGUUCCUAUUGGCACUCC